CCCUCCUUUUCUCUCUCCCUGUAGCCCUCCCUCCCUCUCUUUCUCUCACACACACACCACCCUGCUCAGCGACCCAGCGCUCCCCAAACAGGACCCUCGCGGGCGGCAUCGCGAGGGACACGCUGCUGUCCUAACCUUAGCGCCACUCGGGGAGAAUGAAGGAGGCCCACCGAGCCCCCGACAAAGCUGCAAAACCCAGGAGACGCGCACGCGGGACCAUCACACUGUCAAGCAGACCGGGCCUUCACUCAGGGAGCGCUUCCCCCUCGGCGCAGACCGAGCCUCCUCCGAUUUGAAACUCAGCAGCUGUUUUAACAAUUGAAAAAGCGGCCCUACAGGACCAGUGAAACGGAGCAGAGUGUGUGAAGCCAUUAAGGCUGACUAGGUAAUUAUGAUAAAAAGUUACCUAAUUAGCAACCUGGCCUGGGCUUAGGAAAACCAAGAAAAAAAAAGUACCGAAUGAUUUGGUGAUCUCAUUUUUGCAACUGAGAACCUGAUUUCCAGCAAACCUGGUUUUAUAUAAGUUCUAAUAAUAUAUAAUUAUUUAUUAAGAUAUAGUGUCAGUAUUGAAAACACUAGUUCUGUUAUUGCCACAAUGAAAUUAAGGUAGGUAGGAUGAAAAUCAGCCUUAUCCCGGUCAUAUUAAGAACUAUGAUCUUUUUUGCUAAACAGUUGGUCACAGAGGGUGGACCAAUGCAGCUCCUAAAGUUUUGUGGUUCCUAGAUGAAAACACUGCAGGAAAUGGAUUUAUAAAACCGUUUACACGACAUAAAAUAGUUUUGUAAAAUUUUUAAACACUGAAAAGGACAUUUCAGAUCACUGUGCAAGCAUAUUUUUUGCAGAUGAGACAAUGAGGUGAGAAAAGUCCUCAUUGUAUCUCCACUUAGGAGAUACGAUCUAGAGCAGAUCCCUGGGUCAUUCAUUAACAAAGCUUACGAAGUCCCUGCUGUGUACCAGGCACAGCUAAAGAAGAACACUCUUUCAUGUGAGCAGUUUGGCCCAAGUUCCUGAUAGCUAUGUGCCAGUGAUAUCAUACAGCCUUAAGGCCACACAGACAUAAAGCCUGGUUAUUUUUUUAAAUGUUUUGAAGCUGAAUGGCAUCAGAUGUAGUGGAAAGAACACAGACAUCGGAGCCAGAGGUCUUGGGUACAGUUUCCUGCACUGACAUUUAAUAACUUUGUGACUGUGUGAACUUGGAAAGUUAUUUAAUCUUUCUGAAGUUCAGUUUCCUCAUCUGUAAAAUGGGGAUAAUAAAAUUUCUCUGAUAAGGUUAUUGUUAGGGUUAAACUAUUUUUAAUAUGUAAAGCAUGUGAUAUAUAAUAGGCACUAAACAAUUGCCUAUAUAAUAAUCACCAAUUUUUACUCCCUGGAUUCAAUUUCUGUUCAAAUAAAACAUUGCUUCUCCCUAAUCAGAAAACCGUACUUUGUAAGUGAAAAAAUAAAACAAAAGGAAUCACUUAGACCUUGCUUGUUAGGAUGGCCAAAAUGAUUAAUUUCAGGUUUGACAAAAUGUAACAAAUCAAAAACUCUUUCCUUUACAAAUUUAUUCCAAAAACAACCAGUGAAAAAGACAUUAUUUGCAUUUCACAGAUGAGAAAACGGAGGUUUAUGGCCAUCAGUGGCUGAGCAGGGAUCGGAGUCUCAUUCUGUCAAACUCUAAAGCCUGCGUUCUGAACCAACUCAAGCUGCCCCAGGAUAUUCCUUGGAGCCUCUAUCAACUAAUUUCACAGAUUCUUUUUUUUUCCUUUUUGCUGCUGUCAUGUUAAUGGGCAUUAUUUAAAAAGGGAUCUUACCACAGAAUUUGAUUUGGUGUCUCCUUGUUGACACCAUAUAAGAGCAAAUCUAACCACAUGUAGUGUUUUCACAAAAGUGUACCUAUCCAUCAAUUCUAGCCACAAACCUCUAAGGUCAGAAAUCUCAAAGAUUAAGCCAGAGGGAGGUGGAAUAGUCCAAACUGGUUUAGCUGCUUGAGUCUUCUCUUUUAUUUGAAAAUCACUUAAACUCUGUCAUUGACACAGUAUGAGUCCUUUCCUAAAGACAUUUUAAAAACUAACUUCUCUAUGAAAAGCAGUGAAUAGGAGGGCUGACACAAUUUUUAAAACUCUCAACAUGUGCAGCUCAUAAAAAGUAGGCAUAUGAUUAUAUAUACCUUUGAUUCAACCAGUUUCUAUUACAAGUAACCUGUGAACCCUAGAACUUAGUUAUUUUUUUUUUUAAAAAAAAGGAGGGGAAUCUCCACCUUAACCUUUUGGCCAUUUAAUCACUUAUUUAUUGAGUGGUUUCUAAGUGCCUGCUGUUGUCGCUCACUGCUUAUUAGUCCUUGUGAGAGCAAUCUUCAGUAGGAAUUAUUAGAAUUCCCAUUUUGGAGAUGAUGCUACUGAGGCUGUCAGAACUUGUCAUAUUUCUAGCCAAGAAAUUUGAACCCAGGCAGUGCUUUCAGCUAUUAUACUCGCUCCUCCCCUUUUGAAAUGGAUUCAAGGUAGUCACUCACAAAUGUGGAGAAUAAACUGAAGAAAGAAAUAAUAAGCCAAGUCCAGUCAUCUUAACAACCAUUUUUAACUGUUUCCUAGUAGUUUGGCAUAUAAAAAAAUUUCCCUCGAGAAAAUAAAACUUUAGUAGAAUAGCAUUAUUUUAAAAUUAUGUUAAGCUUUUCAGUGUGUGUUAUCAGACUCAAAUGUAUUAAAUUCCUUAUUGGAUUAGACCAGUUAACACUGGAUUUUGUCACAUUUCUACUUUUGAAUACCACAUCUAGGAAAGAAAUGUGUUAAUAUUUACUUCAUUGUGCCAAAUCAGAUUCUAUUGUAAAACUAGAUCAAAAAUGAAUCACUACACUAUAAAAUGCAAAAAUCUGUACGUGGAUUGUAAAGAGAAACAGGGACUGUUCUCAUUUUCUGGCGCAACUUCUCAACCCUCAUUAUGCUCUGUUGUAGAAAAAAUGCAUUAUUUCCGGUCAUUUAAAAGAAGUAGGGCCAUUUUUUCUAGAAAAUAAAUGGUAAUUGAAUCACUGAAAUGAUUUUGGGAAAACAGUUUCCAUACCAAUAGUGUCUAAUGUAACUCUGAAAACUCUUGGUGUUAUAAAGGAAAAAUUUGAAUUUUUCUAAUGUAAGCUUAAAUGUACCCAGUCGAAAUCCUCUCCAUUCCUUCCAUGUAAUCCUUCAAUGUUUUCUUGUCCAAAAAGUAUAACCAAACAUAGAGCCUUGAAUAUUUCUCUUUUGUCUCCAUAGCAUUUUAUCCAUAGCUCUCUCUAUUUCUAAGACCAUAAUUUCUAUUAAUGUGAUAAUCAUAGUGGUAUUCUGUCACUUUCAAUCGCCUAGCUGAAACUACUCAGUGAAACUCUGAGGGAAUUCCUAUUUUGAAGAAACUGCAAAU
rnacentral:lncRNA from 1 species